CAUCGAUGAAGAACGCAGCGAAAUGCGAUAAGUAAUGUGAAUUGCAGAAUUCAGUGAAUCAUCGAAUCUUUGAACGCACAUUGCGCCCCCUGGUAUUCCGGGGGGCAUGCCUGUUCGAGCGUCAUUUCAACCCUCAGGCCCAGCCUGGUGUUGGGGCGGC
rnacentral:rRNA from 1 species